rnacentral:lncRNA from 13 species
UUAAAUUAUAAUUUAUAUUCUUGGUAAAAUCCUUCAUAUCUAUUUCUGAUUGUUUCAAUAGAGGGGAGAGCGAUAAAGCAGAAUGGCGGAGCCAAAGCAGGUAACCCUUGAGGCAUCUGAGACACGCUGGAAAUCUGCACUCUGGAAAUUUCACACAAGUGACACACUCGUGGACAAGGCCCUGCC